GCAAGAUUGAAAAGAUGGCCUCUGCAAAAGGAACCAAGGAGACAAGAACACUGAACAAAUAAUCACAUUCUUCAUUGUUCAGUCUAAUCCCGAAGAACUUUCUGAUAGGAUGGCAUGUUCUAUAUCGACACUGUUUAAUCUAGUAGCUUCUGUCUCCAUGUUGCUUGUGGACAUUUGGCUAGUGCCACAGAAGAACUGAAUUUUUAAUUGUAUUUAAUUUCUAAUUAAAUAGUCACGUAGAGAUAGUGUCUGGUGUCGUGGAUGGCACAGGUUUAAUGCUGUGAUAGCAAAUGCUCAGAACUGAGUAUAUACUUGAUGCUGAAGGCUUCAUGUACAAUCCCCUGUGAUGGGUGCUAUCAUCAUUGUUACCACGAGUAAGAAGGAAGUCCUUAGGUCGGACAAGGUAGUACUCAUCUAUAGUCCCAGCUACACGGAAGGCUGAGGAGGGAGGGUUACUUGAGCCCAGAAGUUCAGAACCAGCCUGGGUAACAUAGUGAGACCCAUUUAAAAAAAAAAAAAGCAAUCAAAGUCCAUUCAUUCAUCUAUACUCUAUUAUUAAUAAUAGACUAUUUUUAAUUACCAUUUCAGAUUCUCAGGGAUAAUAGAGUUACCAUUAUUCACUCUACCUGGUUCCUAUUAGUAGCAUCUUUAUUAAUAUGAUGCCAUUAAAAUGGACCAAUACUGGUAACUUUGGUUUUGUUCUUUUUCU
rnacentral:lncRNA from 1 species